rnacentral:rRNA from 1 species
AGAGUUUGAUCAUGGCUCAGGAUGAACGCUAGCGGCAGGCCUAACACAUGCAAGUCGAGGGGUAACGAUGUCUUCGGACAGUCGACGACCGGCGCACGGGUGAGUAUCGCGUUUGUAACCUACCUUUAACUGGAGCAUAGCCCGAAGAAAUUCGGAUUAAUACUCCAUAAUACUAUGAUCUGGCAUCUUUUUAUAGUUAAAGCUCCGGCGGUUAAAGAUGGGCAUGCGUGACAUUAGUUUGUUGGUGAGGUAAAGGCUCACCAAGACUACGAUGUCUAGGGGGUCUGAGAGGAUGGUCCCCCACACUGGUACUGAGACACGGACCAGACUCCUACGGGAGGCAGCAGUGAGGAAUAUUGGUCAAUGGGCGCAAGCCUGAACCAGCCAUGCCGCGUGAAGGAUGACGGCGCUAUGCGUUGUAAACUUCUUUUGUACAGGAAGAAACACUCCGACGUGUCGGAGCUUGACGGUACUGUACGAAUAAGCAUCGGCUAACUCCGUGCCAGCAGCCGCGGUAAUACGGAGGAUGCAAGCGUUAUCCGGAUUUAUUGGGUUUAAAGGGUACGUAGGCGGAAAAUUAAGUCAGUGGUGAAAUCCUGCAGCUUAACUGUGGAACUGUCAUUGAUACUGGUUUUCUUGAAUUUAGUUGAGGUAGGCGGAAUGUGUAAUGUAGCGGUGAAAUGCUUAGAUAUUACACAGAACACCGAUUGCGAAGGCAGCUUACUAAGCUAUGAUUGACGCUGAGGUACGAAAGCGUGGGGAGCGAACAGGAUUAGAUACCCUGGUAGUCCACGCCGUAAACGAUGAUCACUCGUUGUUGGCAAUACAUCGUCAGCGACUGAGCGAAAGCAUUAAGUGAUCCACCUGGGGAGUACGCUCGCAAGAGUGAAACUCAAAGGAAUUGACGG